UACGAGGGGUGCAAGCGUUGCUCGGAAUUAUUGGGCGUAAAGGGUAGGUAGGUGGUCUCAUUUGUCUGGGGUGAAAGCCUUGAGCUUAACUCAAGAAGUGCCCCGGAACGGUGAGACUCGAGUCCUGGAGAGGGUCGUGGAAUUCCCGGUGUAGCGGUGAAAUGCGUAGAGAUCGGGAGGAACACCAGGAGGCGAAGGCG
rnacentral:rRNA from 1 species